GUUUCUAGAUUUAGAGUCAAGAAGAAUAUAGGUAAGGAGAUGUACAAUCAUCCUCCAAAGCUCAGGAAAGCCCUUGGGUCCAGGUAAGUAUCAGAUGAGCGUCUACAUGGAGGCCUGGAGAGGCCAUUUUGUGAAGUUGUGAAGGUGAAGCCUGGAUUGUGCUGGAGAUCCCCAAGAAGUUAGAGAUGCCAGAGUCAUGGGAUGGAGAUUCCUAAGAUGUUAGAGAUGCCAGAGUCAUGGAUGCCUAUCAAGGAGAGCAGCAGACCAUCUGUGGAAACAAGGGAGAGAAGUGUGCUGCAGUCAACUAAGAUGGGUGUCCAGAGUCAAUCCCUGUCCAGUUUCUCCCUCUGCCUCAACCACCCACCUCCAUAACACAUCAGCUCUUGUUGGCUAGUUGUCUAUCUCAGUUUCCCAGUCCCCAGGGAGCACGAGACUCACUCCUCAAAGACACAAGGAGAGAUGCUCAUGGGACGUCAGAGCUGGGUGAGAGCUCCAAUGAGAGAAUUCAACUUGCUUCGUUGGACUGUCAACCCACCCAGAGCUCUCCAAAGCCAUGACUAAGUCUUGUUCAUUCAUUUAUUGAGGCACUGGUGAAGACAACUAUGACAGAGGACACCAUAGCUUCCAGGACCCCCCAGAGCAAGGGCUCAGAUCACAUUUAGCUCCAGAUGAUGAAGGUGAAUACCUGUGCCCCUAUCUGUGUAGUCUUCUGACCAUGUGUCAGGUUCAGGUUUUCUUCAGGAUGAUCCUGUCCACCCAGGAAGGAAUUCUUCGUUCACCAGCCUGUACGGACAAGGCAGGACAGACCUUGGAGAAGUCAGUGGGAAUCUGGUCUAAACAAGAUGCACAAUAUUAGAAGUGAUUGAACCAUUGAGAAUGUGGGUCUGCAUCCAGGUACAGCUGGAUCUGGGUUUUGAGGGAUGCUGUCUCCCUCCUGCCUCUUCCCAUCCACGGUCCUCUGUAAUGUCCACUCUCACUUUUUGUGUUAGAGAGAUUGAUGACAAAAGUCUCUAUUCCCCUCCCCUCAGGGUUGACAUAAGAAAUUUUAGACAAGAA
rnacentral:lncRNA from 1 species